rnacentral:tRNA from 1 species
GGAGGUGUGGCUUAAGUGGUAGAGUAUUUGCCUAGCAAGUGAAAGGCCCUGAGUUCAAUCCCUAGUACCACCA